CCUACGGGAGGCAGCAGUAGGGAAUAUUGCUCAAUGGAGGAAACCCUGAAGCAGCAACGCCGCGUGGAGGAUGAAGGUUUUCGGAUUGUAAACUCCUUUUGUUAGAGAAGAUAAUGACGGUAUGUAACGAAUAAGCACCGGCUAACUACGUGACAGCAGCCGCGGUAAUACGGCGGGUGCAAGCGUUACUCGGAAUAACUGGGCGUAAAGAGCGCGUAGGCGGGAUAGCAAGUCAGAUGUGAAAUCCUAUGGCUUAACCAUAGAAUUGCAUUUGAAACUGUUAUUCUAGAGUAUAGGUGAGGUAGGUGGAAUUCUUGGUGUAGGGGUAAAAUCCGUAGAGAUCAAGAAGAAUACUGAUUGCGAAGGCGACCUGCUAGAACAUAACUGACGCUGAUGCGCGAAAGCGUGGGGAGCAAACAGGAUUAGAUACCCCUGUAGUC
rnacentral:rRNA from 1 species